AAUGAACGCUGGCGGCAGGCCUAACACAUGCAAGUCGAGCGAAGUCUUCGGACUUAGCGGCGGACGGGUGAGUAACGCGUGGGAACAUGCCCUUUGGUGCGGAAUAGCCCCGGGAAACUGGGAGUAAUACCGCAUGUGCCCUUCGGGGGAAAGAUUUAUCGCCAAAGGAUUGGCCCGCGUUGGAUUAGGUAGUUGGUGGGGUAAUGGCCUACCAAGCCGACGAUCCAUAGCUGGUUUGAGAGGAUGAUCAGCCACACUGGGACUGAGACACGGCCCAGACUCCUACGGGAAGCAGCAGUGGGGAAUCUUAGACAAUGGGCGCAAGCCUGAUCUAGCCAUGCCGCGUGAUCGAUGAAGGCCUUAGGGUUGUAAAGAUCUUUCAGUGGGGAAGAUAAUGACGGUACCCACAGAAGAAGCCCCGGCUAACUCCGUG
rnacentral:rRNA from 1 species